rnacentral:rRNA from 1 species
UACGUAGGGGGCGAGCGUUGUCCGGAUUUAUUGGGCGUAAAGAGCUCGUAGGCGGCUUAGCAAGUCGGGUGUGAAAACUCCAGGCUCAACCUGGAGACGCCACUCGAGACUGCUAUGGCUAGAGUCCGGUAGGGGACCACGGAAUUCCUGGUGUAGCGGUGAAAUGCGCAGAUAUCAGGAGGAACACCAAUGGCGAAGGCAGCUCGCUGGGACGUGACUGACGCUGAGACGCGAAAGCGUGGGGAGCAAACAGG